rnacentral:sRNA from 3 species
AUAUCUCUCUGUACGGGAAGGAUGAGAAGCUUCGACUAAGGUUCGACUCGAGCGAAAGCGAGAGAACGUUGCCAACGGCAACGGCCCGAAGGGCGAAGCGCGCAGCGCUGAGUCAUCCUUCCCCCACCACCA